rnacentral:rRNA from 1 species
AACUAAUCAGUGAAACUGAUCUUCCAGUACAAAAGCUGGAAUACCAACAUAAGACGAGAAGACCCCGUGGAGCUUAAAAUUUUUAACAAAAUACUAUAAAGCACAUAUUUUGCCAUAAAAUUUUUAGUUGGGGCGACUUUGGAGUAAAACUUAACCUCCAAGAAAAGGCACCGCCUACACCGAGGCUCACAGGCCAAACUACAAGACCCAGUAUCAAAUACUGAUCAACGAACCAAGUUACCCCAGGGAUAACAGCGCCAUCUUCUUCAAGAGUUCAUAUCGACAAGAAGGUUUACGACCUCGAUGUUGGAUCAGGACACCCRAAUGGUGCAGCCGCUAU